UUGAACGCUGGCGGCAUGCCUAACACAUGCAAGUCGAACGGGUUGUACUUCGGUACAGCUAGUGGCGGACGGGUGAGUAACACAUAGGAAUCUGCCCGAGAGUGGGGGAUAACCCAGGGAAACUUGGAUUAAUACCGCAUGAUCUCUACGGAGCAAAGCUGGGGACCUUCGGGCCUGGCGCUUUUGGAGGAGCCUAUGUCUGAUUAGCUUGUUGGUGAGGUAACGGCUCACCAAGGCGACGAUCAGUAACUGGUCUGAGAGGACGACCAGUCACACCGGAACUGAGACACGGUCCGGACUCCUACGGGAGGCAGCAGUGGGGAAUAUUGGACAAUGGGCGAAAGCCUGAUCCAGCAAUGCCGCGUGUGUGAAGAAGGCCUUCGGGUUGUAAAGCACUUUAGGAUGGAAAGAAAAAACUUCAGUUAAUAGCUGAAGUCUUGACGGUACCAUCAGAAUAAGCACCGGCUAACUCUGU
rnacentral:rRNA from 1 species